GACGAGCGCUGGCGGCGUGCUUAACACAUGCAAGUCGAACGGUAAGGCCCUUCGGGGUACACGAGUGGCGAACGGGUGAGUAACACGCGGGUGAUCUGCCCUGCACUUCGGGAUAAGCCUGGGAAACUGGGUCUAAUACCGGAUAGGACCACUGCCUGCAUGGGUGGUGGUGGAAAGCUUUUGCGGUGUGGGAUGGGCGCGCGGCCUAUCAGCUUGUUGGUGGGGUGAUGGCCUACCAAGGCGAGGACGGGUAGCCGGCCUGAGUGGGUGACCGGCGAGGCUGGGACAGAAUUACGGCCCAGAGUGCUACGGGAGGCAGCAGUGGGGAAUAUUGCCUGAAGGGCGAAAGCCUGAUGCAGCGGCGCCGGGUGAGGGAUGACGGCAUUCGGGUUGCAAACCUCUUUCAGGACCGGCGAGGCGCAAGUGACGGUAGGUGCAGAAGAAGGACCGGCUAACUACGUGCCAGCAGCCGCAGUAA
rnacentral:rRNA from 1 species